GACGAACGCUGGCGGCGUGCUUAACACAUGCAAGUCGACAUGAGUAGCGAACGGGAGAGUAAUACGUGGGUAACCUGCCCCCCUUUUUGGGAUAAGCCUUGGAAACGGAGUCUAAUACAGAAUAAAGGGGUAUGGGCUCGCGGCCUAUCAGCUUGUUGGUGGGGUGAUGGCCUACCAAGGCGGUGACGGGUAGCCGGCCUGAGAGGGUGAUCGGCCACAUUGGGCCUGAGAUACGGCCCAGACUCCUACGGGAGGCAGCAGUGGGGAAUCUUGCGCAAUGGGCGGAAGUCUGAUGCAGCGACGCCGCGUGGGGGAUGAAGGCUUUCGGGUUGUAAAGCUCUGUUGAUCGGGACGCGGUACCGAAAUAGAAAGCCACGGCUAACUACGUGCCAGCAGCCGCGGUAAUUC
rnacentral:rRNA from 1 species